rnacentral:rRNA from 1 species
AACGAACGCUGGCGGCAGGCCUAACACAUGCAAGUCGAACGCCCCGCAAGGGGAGUGGCAGACGGGUGAGUAACGCGUGGGAACCUUCCCAGUGGUACGGAACAACUGACCGAAAGGUUGGCUAAUACCGUAUACGCCCGAAAGGGGAAAGAUUUAUCGCCAUUGGAUGGGCCCGCGUCGGAUUAGCUAGUUGGUGAGGUAAUGGCUCACCAAGGCGACGAUCCGUAGCUGGUCUGAGAGGAUGAUCAGCCACACUGGGACUGAGACACGGCCCAGACUCCUACGGGAGGCAGCAGUGGGGAAUAUUGGACAAUGGGCGCAAGCCUGACCCAGCCAUGCCGCGUGAGUGAUGAAGGUCUUCGGAUUGUAAAACUCUUUCGCCGGGGAAGAUAAUGACGGUACCCGGAGAAGAAGCUCCGGCUAACUUCGUGCCAGCCGCCGCGGUAA